rnacentral:rRNA from 1 species
GACGAACGCUGGCGGCGUGCUUAACACAUGCAAGUCGAACGGAAAGGCCCUGCUUUUGUGGGGUGCUCGAGUGGCGAACGGGUGAGUAACACGUGAGUAACCUGCCCUUGACCUUGGGAUAACUUCAGGAAACUGGGGCUAAUACCGGAUAGGAGCUCCUGCUGCAUGGUGGGGGUUGGAAAGUUUCGGCGGUUGGGGAUGGACUCGCGGCUUACCAGCUUGUUGGUGGGGUAGUGGCUUACCAAGGCUUUGACGGGUAGCCGGCCUGAGAGGGUGACCGGCCACAUUGGGACUGAGAUACGGCCCAGACUCCUACGGGAGGCAGCAGUGGGGAAUAUUGCACAAUGGGUGGAAGCCUGAUGCAGCAACGCCGCGUGCGGGAUGACGGCCUUCGGGUUGUAAACCGCUUUCGCCUGUGACGAAGCGUGAGUGACGGUAAUGGGUAAAGAAGCACCGGCUAACUACGUG